UCAAUCACUCGCUCUGGCUGACGGAUACCUGUGAAUGAAUCGGAGGGUUUGUUAUCCAGUGAAAACACGGACUUUUAGUUGAAUAUGCACGUCUUCCCAAAAUACCUAUAUGCAGCAACAACUGGUUCACUGUAGGAUCCAGCGAUUUACUAGAGGCCAGGAAACUACAAAUGCAAAAGGUUAUGAAUGUACCAUUGUGGAUAUUGAACCUUAAAACAGAGGAACAAGACUGCACGGCUACACGUACCUCUCACCAAAACAGGAAGACUCUCAGAAACAGAGGCGGGCACAAGAGCAGGAACCUAGGUAAAGCGAGGGAUACGUUUCACCUACCUAAAACCUAUCUAACUGGCGAACUACUCAGGGAAGAGGGGUGGGAAAACACGCAACCAUUUUACCAUGAUGUCAUCCCAAACAGGAACAAAUGAAGAAUCACUAGCUCCGGUCACAUCAACACACUACUAUUGAAGGCCAUUAUCUGCUCAAAUGGCCUUCCAUAAAACUAGUGGGCUGACAAUCACCGCAAUGCUCCUCCCAACCACCAGGGUGUGUGCUUCCUGACACUGCAGCUCUGCACUGAUGCUCAAUGGAGAAAUACACAGCAUCCCAACAGCAUUUCCUUGUGACCUCAUUUCUUCAUUUAAUAAACACUGAAUUUUACUCGCUUUGUUGCCAAGUACAAUGAA